UACGUAGGGCGCAAGCGUUGUCCGGAAUUAUUGGGCGUAAAGAGCUCGUAGGUGGCUUGUCACGUCGGGUGUGAAAGCUUGGGGCUUAACUCCAGGUCUGCAUUCGAUACGGGCUGGCUAGAGGUAGGUAGGGGGAGAACGGAAUUCCUGGUGUAGCGGUGAAAUGCGCAGAUAUCAGGAGGAACACCGGUGGCGAAGGCGGUUCUCUGGGCAUUACCUGACGCUGAGGAGCGAAAGUGUGGGGAGCGAACAGG
rnacentral:rRNA from 1 species